rnacentral:rRNA from 1 species
UGGGGAAUUUUGGACAAUGGGGGAAACCCUGAUCCAGCCAUCCCGCGUGUGCGAUGAAGGCCUUCGGGUUGUAAAGCACUUUUGGCAGGAAAGAAACGUCAUGGGUUAAUACCCCGUGAAACUGACGGUACCUGCAGAAUAAGCACCGGCUAACUACGUGCCAGCAGCCGCGGUAAUACGUAGGGUGCAAGCGUUAAUCGGAAUUACUGGGCGUAAAGCGUGCGCAGGCGGUUCGGAAAGAAGGAUGUGAAAUCCCAGGGCUCAACUUUGGAACUGCAUUUUUAACUACCGGGCUAGAGUGUGUCAGAGGGAGGUGGAAUUCCGCGUGUAGCAAUGAAAUGAGUAGAUAUGCGGAGGAACACCGAUGGCGAAGGCAGCCUCCUGGGAUAACACUGACGCUCAUGCACGAAAGCGUGGGGAGCAAACAGG